rnacentral:rRNA from 1 species
UAUGUGAUCGUCUCUCGCAUAUCAAUAAGCGGAGGAAAAGAAACUAACAAGGAUUCCCCUAGUAACGGCGAGUGAAGCGGGAAGAGCUCAAAUUUGAAAUCUUAAAGGGUUUCCCUUUACGAAUUGUAGUUUAAAGAAGUGUUUUCCGUUGAGGUUUUGGUAAAAGUUCUUUGGAAUAGGACAUCAUAGAGGGUGAGAAUCCCGUAUUUGACCUUUACUUUCAACUUUGUGAUACACUUUCAAAGAGUCGGAUUGUUUGGGAAUGCAGUCCAAAAUGGGUGGUAAAUUUCAUCUAAAGCUAAAUAUUGGCGAGAGACCGAUAGCGAACAAGUACCGUGAGGGAAAGAUGAAAAGAACUUUGAAAAGAGAGUUAAACAGUACGUGAAAUUGUCAAAAGGGAAGCGUUUGACACCAGUGUUGUUUUUCUGAAAAUCAAUUAAAGAACUGUUUAUGCUAAGCUGUUUAGACUUUAUCAGCUAUCUGUUUAGUUUUGAGCUUUUCUUUAAUGCACUUUUCAGUUAACAAGUCAACAUCAAUUUCUUUUGCUGUAAAAAAGCUUGAGGAAGGUGGCUUGAGAUUCGUCUUAAGUGUUUAUAGCCUCUUGCCUAUGCAGUCGGAGAGAUUGAGGUCUGCAGCGUAGAUCCUUCGGGGCUAAAUGCAUUUGUGCUAAGUUAUAGCAUUUUAUAGACAACUUGUUGACUAUGAUUUGUCUUGUAGCUUACUCGCUUAUGUUAUUCUACCUACGCUUAGGAUGUUGAGCGCAUGUCUCUCUCU